CACUGUUUUAUACUGUUCUUUUUGUCAGCAGGUCUUUAUUUAAACUGCACUGGUGCUUUGUUUUGUAUUUAGAGAUCAAAACAUCCCCGAGACCAUUAAAAGAUAAAACGGAGGCACAAAGAAACAGACGAGGCAAAUCAAUGCAAAGCUGCCGACAUUAAGAAUUGAUUCACAGUCGCAGCCAAAUUCAGCAGAUGACGUAGAGGCUCAAAGUGUUCGCCCGCAGGGCUCUCAUCAAGGCUACACUAGUAGCACGAGAGCAUCUGCGCGCGCCUCUGGGCCGCUUCCUACCCAUCACACCAUGGAGAAGAGACGGGAGGAAAGGACAGGACAGGACAGUCCUGGGAGACACGUCACGUGUUGGUGAUGUAACAGGAAAGAAAAAAGGAUUCGCUGCUCUGGUGCCGGCGCUGUUUGUGUACGGGACAUUCCUCAGUCUGCUGCUGAUAUUAAGGCAUCAUUGAGCCUCUACAAACGAUUUUAUUACACAUAAAAAUGAUUGGGAGUGGGAAAAGCAAGCUGAUUGUUUUACAGGUGAAUAUUCCUUUAGAAAUAAAAGUUUAUACUCAUCAAGUUUCAUAUAUU